AGCGAACGCUAGCGGCAGGCCUAACACAUGCAAGUCGAACGGAUCCUUCGGGAUUAGUGGCGGACGGGUGAGUAACACGUGGGAACGUGCCCUUUGGUUCGCAACAACUCAGGGAAACUUGAGCUAAUACCGGAUGUGCCCUUCGGGGGAAAGAUUUAUCGCCAAUGGAGCGGCCCGCGUCUGAUUAGCUAGUUGGUGAGGUAAAGGCUCACCAAGGCGACGAUCAGUAGCUGGUCUGAGAGGAUGAUCAGCCACAUUGGGACUGAGACACGGGCCAAACUCCUACGGGUGGCAGCAGUGGGGAAUCUUGCGCGAUGGGCGAAAGCCUGACGCAGCCAUGCCGCGUGAAUGAUGAAGGUCUUAGGAUUGUAAAAUUCUUUCACCGGGGACGAUAAUGACGGUACCCGGAGAAGAAGCCCCGGCUAACUUCGUGCCAGCCGCCGCGGUAACAC
rnacentral:rRNA from 1 species